UACAGAGGUCCCAAGCGUUGUUCGGAUUCACUGGGCGUAAAGGGUGCGUAGGCGGCGCGGUAAGUCGGGUGUGAAAUCUCGGAGCUUAACUCCGAAACUGCAUUCGAUACUGCCGUGCUUGAGGACUGGAGAGGAGACUGGAAUUUACGGUGUAGCGGUGAAAUGCGUAGAUAUCGUAAGGAAGACCAGUGGCGAAGGCGGGUCUCGUGGACAGUUCCUGACGCUGAGGCACGAAAGCCAGGGGAGCAAACAGG
rnacentral:rRNA from 1 species